rnacentral:pre_miRNA from 2 species
AGUGUUUUUGCUGGCUUAUGUGGUGAGAGUAUGUUUAUUUUUGUAAGCAACUGCCAAAUUGUCUUCCAAAGUGGCUAUACCAUUUUAUAUUGCCAGCAGCAAU